AAAAUAAUCCUACCCUUUGUGAAUUUUGUUUGUUUGAAUAAUUUUUUUUUUUAAAGAAUUAUUGGAGUCUUUCCCUUUAGAGUUUGCUUUUGAGUUUGUAAAAGAAUUCGAAAACAUCUAAAGGGGACGGUCAACAAUUUUUUUUGAAAAAAGACAUUUUUUAAAAUUAAACUUUUUGUAUUCAUUUGUCUAAAAAUUAUUUUUAUAAUAUAAAAACAACUUUUGACAAUGGAUCUCUUGGUUCUCGCAACGAUGAAGAACGCAGCAAAAUGCGAUAAGUAGUGUGAAUUGCAGAAUACGUGAAUCAUCGAAUCUUUGAACGCAUAUUGCACUUUUUUAGUUUACUAAAAAAGUAUGUCUGUUUGAGUAUCAGUAAAAUAUUCUCAUAAAAAUCAUUGUGUAUUUUUAUGGUUAUGAGUGUUUUACAACGAUACAAGUUGUUUCACUUUAAAUUUUUUUUUAAUAUUGAAAUUUUUCUAAUUUUAAUAAUUAAAAUUGGAUAAAAUUUUCCCGUCAAAAGGAAUAACCUAAACAAUUUUAAAUGAUUAAUUUUAGCAAAAUUUUCGAAAAAAAGGAAAAUUUUUAUUAAAAUAACUUGAUCUCAAAUCAGAUAAGAGUACCCGCUGAACUUAAGCAUAUCAAUAAGCGGAGGAAAAGAAACUAACGAGGAUUCCCUUAGUAACGGCGAGUGAAGCGGGAAGAGCUCAAAUUUGAAAUCUUCAAGGUUUUACCUUGACGAAUUGUAGUUUAAAGAAGUGUUUUCUGCUGAAGUUUUGGUAAAAGUUCUUUGGAAUAGGACAUCAUAGAGGGUGAGAAUCCCGUAUUUGACCAUUAUUUUCAGCUUUGUGAUACACUUUCAAAGAGUCGGAUUGUUUGGGAAUGCAGUCCAAAAUGGGUGGUAAAUUUCAUCUAAAGCUAAAUAUUGGCGAGAGACCGAUAGCGAACAAGUACCGUGAGGGAAAGAUGAAAAGAACUUUGAAAAGAGAGUUAAACAGUACGUGAAGUUGUCAAAAGGGAAGCGUUUGACACCAGUGUUGUUUUCUCGAAAAUCAAUUAAAAAUGGCUCGAUUUUGUAUUGCUUGAGACCUUAAAAGCUCACUGUACAUUUUUCGUGUCUUUUUUAAUGCACUUUUCGUUUAACAAGUCAACAUCAAUUUCUUUUGUUGUAAAAGGGUCAUUGGAAGGUGGCUUUCUUUUCGGAGAAAGUGUUUAUAGCCUUUGGCCUCUGCAAUCGGAGAGACUGAGGUCUGCAGCGUAGACUCUUCGGGGUUAGAUACAUUUGUGCUAAGUUAUAGCUUUUUAUAGACAACUUGUUGACUAUAAUUAGUCUUGUGGCUUACUCGCUUAUGCUAUUUUACCUACGCUUAGGAUG
rnacentral:misc_RNA from 1 species